rnacentral:rRNA from 1 species
CAGCUUGCUGGGUGGAUUAGUGGCGAACGGGUGAGUAACACGUGAGUAACCUGCCCUUGACUCUGGGAUAAGCCUGGGAAACUGGGUCUAAUACCGGAUAGGAACGUCCACCGCAUGGUGGGUGUUGGAAAGAUUUAUCGGUCAUGGAUGGACUCGCGGCCUAUCAGCUUGUUGGUGAGGUAAUGGCUCACCAAGGCGACGACGGGUAGCCGGCCUGAGAGGGUGACCGGCCACACUGGGACUGAGACACGGCCCAGACUCCUACGGGAGGCAGCAGUGGGGAAUAUUGCACAAUGGGCGAAAGCCUGAUGCAGCGACGCCGCGUGAGGGAUGACGGCCUUCGGGUUGUAAACCUCUUUCAGUAGGGAAGAAGCGAAAGUGACGGUACCUGCAGAAGAAGCACCGGCUAACUACGUGCCAGCAGCCGCGGUAAUACGUAGGGUGCGAGCGUUAUCCGGAAUUAUUGGGCGUAAAGAGCUCGUAGGCGGUUUGUCGCGUCUGUCGUGAAAGUCCGGGGCUUAACCCCGGAUCUGCGGUGGGUACGGGCAGACUAGAGUGCAGUAGGGGAGACUGGAAUUCCUGGUGUAGCGGUGGAAUGCGCAGAUAUCAGGAGGAACACCGAUGGCGAAGGCAGGUCUCUGGGCUGUAACUGACGCUGAGGAGCGAAAGCAUGGGGAGCGAACAGGAUUAGAUACCCUGGUAGUCCAUGCCGUAAACGUUGGGCACUAGG